rnacentral:rRNA from 1 species
GACAGAGGGUGCAAACGUUGUUCGGAAUUACUGGGCGUAAAGCGUGCGUAGGCGGCCGUGCAAGUCGGAUGUGAAAGGCCCCGGGCUCAACCCGGGAAGUGCACCCGAAAACUGCAUGGCUCGAGUACCGGAGAGGUUGGUGGAAUUCUCGGUGUAGAGGUGAAAUUCGUAGAUAUCGAGAGGAACACCGGUGGCGAAGGCGGCCAACUGGACGAGUACUGACGCUGAGACACGAAAGCGUGGGGAGCAAACAGG